GGUGUGGCGCGGUGGUAGCGCGACUGCCUGCGACGCAGAAGGUCCCGGGUUCGAAUCUCGGUGGGUCACUC